CGGGGAGGCGCUGCGCCCGGCCCCGCCCCGCCCCGCCGGUCCCAGGGCGGCCGGCGCGUUCCUGGCGAGGCUGUGCGGGCGUUCCUGGCGAGGCUGUGCGGGCGCUCCUGGCUCCUCGCGCCCGGGAUGCGGCUGGGCGCCGCGGCCCGCUAGCUCUCUGCGGAUUCCCCCACUGGCGCGAGCUCUACAGGAAGGCUCGGGUGCUGGGCCCGGUUCGAUGAGAGGGGACCUUUUUUCCACCUAUGAAAUGAAAUGAUGGACUUCAGACCUCCUGAAUUACAGAAGCACUGUCUCAUGAUCAGCAGGUUAAAACACUGAUCAUAUUCCAACUGAGAAAAUGAAGAAUCAUUUUCAUACUAAGGACAUUUGUAUUCCAAGAUGAAUUUUGCCAAAAUAGUUGAACAGCAGCAGCCAGGGCUCUGCCGCUCCCCCGUGGCUGUGGAUCUCCUCAGGGCCACCAGGCGACUAAGAACAUGAGCAAGUUGAGGCACAGCCACCGUCAUGGGUACGUCACCAAACACACACCAAGUUCCUGAAGGACACAAUCCAGGCGGUGUGCGGCUUCGCCCCUUAUGAGUGGCGGGCCAUGGAGCUGCUCACGGUCUCCAAGGAGGAGCAGGCCCUCAAGGUCAUCAAGAAAAGGGUGGAGACACAUCCACACCAAGAGGAAGAGAGAGGAGCUGAGCACGUCCUGGCCAUCAUGAGGAGAGCGGCAGCCACGAAGGACUGAACACUUCCCCUCUGUGCACAAUAAACCUUUUCAGGAAAAAAAAAAAAAAAAAGGCCUUUUCUGUUUACUUAUUCCUGAUUUAAAUUUUUAUCAAUAGAACAGGU
ensembl:lncRNA